UACGGAGGAUCCAAGCGUUAUCCGGAAUCAUUGGGUUUAAAGGGUCCGUAGGCGGUCUUAUAAGUCAGUGGUGAAAUCUCCCCGCUCAACGGGGAAACGGCCAUUGAUACUGUAGGACUUGAAUUAUUAGGAAGUAACUAGAAUAUGUAGUGUAGCGGUGAAAUGCUUAGAGAUUACAUGGAAUACCAAUUGCGAAGGCAGGUUACUACUAAUGGAUUUGACGCUGAUGGACGAAAGCGUGGGUAGCGAACAGG
rnacentral:rRNA from 1 species